AAAACAUGUCCUUUUGAUUAUGAUUUAAGGUCUGGCCUGCUCAAUGAGGUUUUAAAUAGCCGCGAUAACUUGAUCGUGCGAAGGUAGCAUAAUCAUUAGUUUUUUAAUUGAAAACUGGAAUGAAGGGUUGGACGAGAUUGGGGCUGUCUCAAGUUUAUUAAAUUGGAAUUUUAUUUCUAGGUUAAAAAGCCUAGAUUUCUCUUAAAGACGAGAAGACCCUAUAGAGUUUUAUAUUUUUAUUUAAUAAGUGUUUUUGGUAUUAAGGUUGCUUUUUAGUUUAAAAGUAUUUAGUUGGGGUGAUUGAAUAAAUGAUUAAACUUCUUUUUUUUAUUACACUAAUUUGUGAUUUGAUGAUCCACUAUUUGUGAUUAAAAGAUUAAAUUACCUUAGGGAUAACAGCGUAAUUCUUUUUGAGAGUUCUUAUCGAAAAUAGAGUUUGCGACCUCGAUGUUGGAUUAAAGUUAAUUUUUGGCGUAGAAGUUAGAAUAUUUGGUCUGUUCGACCAUUAAAACUUUACAUGA
rnacentral:rRNA from 1 species